GACGAACGCUGGCGGCGUGCCUAAUACAUGCAAGUUGAGCGAUGACGAUUGGUGCUUGCACCAAUUUGAAGAGCAGCGAACGGGUGAGUAACGCGUGGGGAAUCUGCCUUUUAGCGGGGGACAACAUCUGGAAACGAAUGCUAAUACCGCAUAACAACUUUAAACAUAAGUUUUAAGUUUGAAAGAUGCAAUUGCAUCACUCAAAGAUGAUCCCGCGUUGUAUUAGCUAGUUGGUGAGGUAAAGGCCCACCAAGGCGAUGAUACAUAGCCGACCUGAGAGGAUGAUCAGCCACACUGGAACUGAGACACGGCCCAAACUCCUACGGGAGGCAGCAGUGGGGAAUAUUGGACAAUGGGCGAAAGCCUGACCCAGCAAUGCCGCGUGGGUGAAGAAGGUUUUCGGGUCGUAAAGCCCUUUUGGUGGGAAAGAAAAGUGGGAGGUUAAGAAACCCCUGUAAUGACGGUAACCAAACAAGAAGGGCCGGCUAACUUCGGG
rnacentral:rRNA from 1 species